UACGGAGGGUGCUAGCGUUAUUCGGAAUUAUUGGGCGUAAAGGGCGUGUAGGCGGCUUCGCAAGUCCUUUGUGAAAGCCCUCGGCUCAACCGAGGAAUUGCAAGGGAAACUGCAGAGCUCGAGUCCGGGAGAGGAGAGCGGAAUUCCCAGUGUAGCGGUGAAAUGCGUAGAUAUUGGGAGGAACACCUGUGGCGAAGGCGGCUCUCUGGACCUGUACUGACGCUGAGACGCGAAAGCUAGGGGAGCAAACAGG
rnacentral:rRNA from 1 species